rnacentral:sRNA from 1 species
AUCUCACCUCUGGUUGAUCUGACUUGUCAUCCUGUUUUUCUGCAUUGUCAUCGGACUCCGAAUCCCUUUGAGCUUGCAGAAAAAGUGCUGUGCACAACUAAUCCAAACAGGUUGCAGCUAAAUCGAAGGCCGCUCUAAAUGUAAAGGUGGCCAAAAUAUGUGGUCGACCGACCUUACCAAGAAAGUCGGCUCGUCAACCGAACCAGAAAAAACAAGGGGAAGUGGAAAAACUUAUUGAUCAUGUAGCCACCAAGGAGGGCGGAAUGUUCAAAAUCAGACGGAAAUUAUGGACUAAAUGAUGGUUUCUGGGAUUCAAGCCAAAAUCUGGCUUGCGACGCUUAAUAUAAAAAAGUAACAUAGCAGAAGGUUGAUGUCAAGGAGAUGCACGAAUCGACGAAGACCGCAGAGACCAGGAACGUCAGUGGAACUUGUAGUGGAUUCAGGUAUUAAUGCUGGUUCUCCGAAGUGAACGCUAGUGCCAAAGCGCAAAGCUGAGCACGUCUCGGACUCCAAAAUGGCAAGAAUGAAGCUGAAAUAAAUUCGGAGUCCGAUGACGAUGCAGAAAUUGAGGAUGACAAGGCAGCACAACCCCAGGAUGAAUACAAUUCGUCCUUGCUGUUGUAAGGGCGUGCGUACCUGCUUGAGCUGCGAACAGGACUUUCAGGAUGCAAAGACCACGCUACUGUAUCCAGGGCGAUCUGCCGACUUUAAAAGGCGCAAACAACGGCAUAUGUGCAACGGCGCUUCGAAGACGUUCCCCUGCUUCGUAUAAAUGACCAACUUGCUACUUUUGAAGGAAAGGUGCUACGCAUACCUAUGCCAAACCUCUCCCUGAUAGUUUUGUAUGGACCAGCGUGAGUCAAGCAUUAGAUGUGGCGGGCAGGUCAUCGCUAUUUUCUACCGUUUGACGAGCCCUCACCCCAGUGUCCACAUUGGAAUCACUAUCGUCCUCAUCAGUAUCCUCUUCAACGAUAUUUUUCCCAUUACUGGUGGUCAAUGUGUCGGUGUUCCUGAUCUCGGCAUUCUUACUUUUUGUUACUUUUACUUACUUUUUGAUUAGUGCAUUGCAAGCCAGAUUCUUGCUUGGUUCUCAGGAAUGAUCCUUUGAUCCAUAGUUUUCCAUCUGAUCUUGAUCAUUUCGCCCUCCUUGGUGGCUAUAUGAUCAAUAAUUUUUUUCACCUCCUCACCUUCUCUGGGUCGGUUGAAGCGUUGGCUUCUUGGUGCCGGCGGUCGGUCGACCACGUCCCUUGGCCAUCUACACACAAUUGGAGUAUGAGAAGUUUUUGGAUAAGCUACUCUUAAACUUUCUAACCGAGCUGACCUCCGAUUCGAGGAAGGUGCGGCUGCCCAUCUUGAU